AGGGCCUAAGUUAAAUAAAGCACGCUACUUUUCUUUUACUUCUAAAUCCGCCUUCCGACUAGGUUUCAUAUAUAGUCUUUCGUGUGGUCUAAAGUAGACAGUGUAGCCCAUCUCUUUCCGCUUCAUAUGCUGCACCUUGACCUGACGUGUUGGCGUAGGGGCAUUAAGCUCACUAAUUGGCGCUCACGUGGUAAGCUGACGACGGAGGUAUACAGGCUGAAAACAAGAAGGGGUGAGGUAAAACGGGGGUUAUCGAUUAUAGGACAGGCUCCUCUAGGUGGAUUUGGGGUACCGUCAAGUCCCUUGGGUUUUAAGCU
rnacentral:rRNA from 1 species